rnacentral:rRNA from 1 species
UACGUAGGGGGCAAGCGUUGUCCGGAAUCAUUGGGCGUAAAGCGCGUGUAGGCGGCUUGGUAAGUCCGUUCUGAAAGCCCGGGGCUCAACCCCGGGAGGCGGAUGGAUACUGCCAAGCUCGAGUCCGGAAGAGGCAAGUGGAAUUCCCGGUGUAGCGGUGAAAUGCGCAGAUAUCGGGAGGAACACCAAUGGCGAAGGCAGGUCUCUGGGCAUUAACUGACGCUGAGGAGCGAAAGCAUGGGGAGCGAACAGG